rnacentral:rRNA from 1 species
CUCAGUAACGGGCGAUUUAUUUGUUCUCCUGUGACGGACAACAUCGGGAAACUGAUGGGAAAACGUCUAAGUUGCAGUUAAUUGAUUGUGACGUAAACGAUAUUGUGCAGGAGAGUAAGAUGCCAUCCUAUCAGUUAGUAAGUAGGGUAAGGGCCUACUUAGACGAAGACGGGUACGGGGAAUGAGGGUUUGAUUCCGGAGAGGGAGCCUGAGAGAUGGCUACCAGGACCAAGGUCAGCAGCAGGCGCGAAAAUUAUCGAAGCCCGCCUAGGGGCGAUAGUGAGGAGACGUGUAUAACGAAGUACGUGUAAAGAACGUGCUAAUAACUGGAGGUCAAGUCUGGUGCCAGCA